rnacentral:rRNA from 1 species
UAGGGAAUCUUCCGCAAUGGGCGAAAGCCUGACGGAGCAACGCCGCGUGAGUGAUGAAGGUCUUCGGAUCGUAAAACUCUGUUAUUAGGGAAGAACAAAUGUGUAAGUAACUAUGCACGUCUUGACGGUACCUAAUCAGAAAGCCACGGCUAACUACGUGCCAGCAGCCGCGGUAAUACGUAGGUGGCAAGCGUUAUUCGGAAUUAUUGGGCGUAAAGCGCGCGUAGGCGGUUUUUUAAGUCUGAUGUGAAAGCCCACGGCUCAACCGUGGAGGGUCAUUGGAAACUGGAAAACUUGAGUGCAGAAGAGGAAAGUGGAAUUCCAUGUGUAGCGGUGAAAUGCGCAGAGAUAUGGAGGAACACCAGUGGCGAAGGCGACUCUCUGGUCUGUAACUGACGCUGAGGCUCGAAAGCGUGGGUAGCAAACAGG